CAAAAUCUUCGUCACCGUCUUCAAAUACGUCGUCGUCUCCACCGUCUUCGUCGUGGAUUCAUUUGAGAUCGGUUCUCUUCAUAGUAGCUUCCUCCAACUCCUCACCAGCCUCUUGUUCUUCUUCCUCUUCUGACCGCUCGAUUCAUAGCUGUCCAUUUCUUCGUGUUGCUGGUCAUAGCCCUACGCCUAGGUGUACGCUUCAGUUAGUUUAGUUGUUAGGAUUGAUAUGUAAGAGUAAUAAGUAGAGUAUUAAUUUGACUUGGUAAUAUGAAAUAUCUUUUUUUAUUUGUCA